AACGUAGGACGCAAGCGUUAUCCGGAGUUACUGGGCGUAAAGCGCGGGCAGGCGGUCUUGCCAGUCUGAUGUGAAAUCUCCUCGCUCAACGGGGAGCAGCCAUUGGAAACUACAAGACUGGAGUCUGACAGAGGUAGGCGGAAUUCCGGGUGGAGUGGUGAAAUGCGUUGAUAUCGGAAGGAACGCCGGUGGCGAAAGCGGUCCGCUGGGUCCCUACUGACGCUGAGGCGCGAAAGCCAGGGGAGCGAACGGG
rnacentral:rRNA from 1 species